rnacentral:rRNA from 1 species
CCUACGGGUGGCAGCAGUGGGGAAUAUUGCACAAUGGGGGAAACCCUGAUGCAGCGACGCCGCGUGAGUGAAGAAGUAAUUCGUUAUGUAAAGCUCUAUCAGCAGGGAAGAAAAUGACGGUACCUGAGUAAAAAGCACCGGCUAACUACGUGCCAGCAGCCGCGGUAAUACGUAGGGGGCAAGCGUUAUCUGGAUUUACUGGGUGGAAAGGGAGCGUAGACGGCAGUGCAAGUCUGGAGUGAAAGGCGGGGGCUCAACCCCGGGACUGCUCUGGAAACUGUACGGCUGGAGUGCAGGAGAGGUAAGUGGAAUUCCGAGUGUAGCGGUGAAAUGCGUAGAUAUUAGGAGGAACACCAGUGGCGAAGGCGGCUUACUGGACUGUAACUGACGUUGAGGCUCGAAAGCGUGGGGAGCAAACAGGAUUAGAUACCCGGGUAGUC